UACGUAGGUGGCAAGCGUUAUCCGGAAUUAUUGGGCGUAAAGCGCGCGUAGGCGGUUUUUUAAGUCUGAUGUGAAAGCCCACGGCUCAACCGUGGAGGGUCAUUGGAAACUGAAAAACUUGAGUGCAGAAGAGGAAAGUGGAAUUCCAUGUGUAGCGGUGAAAUGCGCAGAGAUAUGGAGGAACACCAGUGGCGAAGGCGACUUUCUGGUCUGUAACUGACGCUGAUGUGCGAAAGCGUGGGGAUCAAACAGGAUGAUCCCUGUAC
rnacentral:rRNA from 1 species